rnacentral:rRNA from 1 species
AGAGUUUGAUCCUGGCUCAGGAUGAACGCUGGCGGCGUGCCUAAUACAUGCAAGUCGAACGCUUUGUCUUUAANUGAUCUGACGAGCUUGCUCUGAUUUGAUUUUAUCUGACAAAGAGUGGCGAACGGGUGAGUAACACGUGGGUAACCUACCUCUUAGCAGGGGAUAACAUUUGGAAACAAGUGCUAAUACCGUAUAAUACCAACAACCGCAUGGUUGUUGGUUGAAAGAUGGUUCUGCUAUCACUAAGAGAUGGACCCGCGGUGCAUUAGNUAGUUGGUAAGGUAACGGCUUACCAAGGCAAUGAUGCAUAGCCGAGUUGAGAGACUGAUCGGCCACAAUGGGACUGAGACACGGCCCAUACUCCUACGGGAGGCAGCAGUAGGGAAUCUUCCACAAUGGGCGCAAGCCUGAUGGAGCAACGCCGCGUGUGUGAUGAAGGGUUUCGGCUCGUAAAACACUGUUAUAAGAGAAGAACGGCANCUGAGAGUAANCUGUUACAGUGUGUGACGGUAUCUACCAGAAAGACGAG